GUCGUAGCAAUGGAUAUCUUGGUUCUCGUCACGAUGAAGAACGCAGCGAAAUGCGAUACGUAAUGCGAAUUGCAGAAUUCAGUGAAUCAUCGAAUCUUUGAACGCAAGUUGCGCCCUUUACCGGGCAUGCCUGUUUGAGUGUCGU
rnacentral:rRNA from 1 species